rnacentral:rRNA from 1 species
UCCGUAGGCGGGCGUCUAAGUCAGUGGUGAAAUCUUACAGCUCAACUGUAAGAUUGCCAUUGAUACUGGAUGUCUUGAAUUAGUGUGAAGUGGUUAGAAUGUGUAGUGUAGCGGUGAAAUGCAUAGAUAUUACACAGAAUACCAAUUGCGAAGGCAGAUCACUAACACUAUAUUGACGCUGAGGGACGAAAGCGUGGGGAGCGAACAGGAUUAGAUACCCUGGUAGUCC